AACAUGCUGCAUUACUAGAUUCUGCUAAUAGAAAUACACAAUCCAAAAAAAUGAGCAUAUGAGGAUAAAUAUGGACAAAUCCUAUGAGCAAAUUUUCUGAAACUUGUCCCCCGGAAAUGGUACAAUGAAACUCCAAGGUAACAACAGUAGCUCAUAUACACCUGAAGGCGAGGUAACUUCAUGACUGCCUUGAUGCUUUCCCGAGACGACGCCACAUCUAGCCAUUUCAACCUACCCCUUCUAACAUACUUCUCUGCGUGCCGGUCUGCUCUUCUCAACAUGUGCUGAGGUAAUGGGCCCAAAACCCUCUCCAUCAUAGCCAAGUGCUCUAAGUUCUUAUGUGUCUGAAACAAUGCUUCUCCCUGCAAACAAUUAUACUUGUAUCCUUUAAGCUUUUUCGUAUUAGAAUGCACUUUAUGAACUUCACAGAUAUUGUGAACCUACCAAGAAAAGUUCUACCAAGAUACAACCAACACUCCAUAUAUCACAUGGAUAACUCCAUCCAAGCCCUAGAAUAACCUCAGGUGCACGGUAGUGCCGGGUUGAGACAAUAUAGUUGUGCUCAUGAUGUCCAUAAGCUGUGCUUCCAAAGUCGAUAACCUUAAUAGCACUUGACUUUGGCAACCUCUUGUAAUAGGCCCCUUCAGUUGGAGAGAUUGAUGGAGCCUGAAAUAGUAGAAUAUUAAUGAGGUUAAAACUCACAGAAGACCUUUAUCAAACACAAAUGGUAAGGCAAACAGAAAUUUGGAUAACUGGAGGAUUUUCAUUACUAGCAUAGUACGGAGUGAUGCAGAAACAUCCACAAUGAAACGUGUACCUUAUAGUCUGGUAUUUUAACAUACUCUGGAGACACAAAAAGUAUAUUCUCUGGCUUCAAAUCUGUAUGGAUGAGGCGUAAAUCAUGCAUGACUGCAGACAAUAAUAUUUAAAUAGUCAACACAAGUAUUUUAAGUCCAGCCUCAUCUCUGACAAUGCCUUGGUGAGGAAAUGAAUUCCUUAACGAGGAAAUGAAUUCCUUAAUGGAAAAAAAAAUAGAGAAAGGAGUAACUUUUAUCAACCAAACACAACUGAAAAGGUGAAAAAACCCCCUAAACUGUAUAACAAUGUCGUCCAUGCAACUUAAGGUAAGGGAAAUAGCAGAAGCAACGACUACACACAUGCUACACAUUCCAAGAGUUGUCUGCCAAGCUCACGGACAAGAUCAACCGGAAAUGGGCGAUAAUUAUUUUUCCGAAGAAAAUCAUACAAGCUUGGUCCAAGCAUCUCAAAUACCUGUUAAACCAUUUCAAUCCACCACCAAGUCUUAAUCCCCAGAAUAUUUAUGAAGAUGGGGAAAUGACAUUAUUGUAAAUAAAUUAUAUACUUACAAUACAGAUAUGAUUACGAUAAUCAAACCAGUUUCGUAUUUGAACACAACGACUGCCAUUUCUGUCAUACUUUCCUAGCAGGUGGAGCACGUCAAUUUGCAACAUUACUGCUUCACGAUAUUUCUUUGUAGUUCGCACAACUUUUAUGGCAACCGUCUCUCUUGCUUCCCUAUCCCAGCAUUCCAAAACCUGACCAAAGGUGCCUUCACCCAUCUUGCUGUGUAUCUUAUAGCGAGAAGUUAAAUUUUCUCCAAUUGCAAACAUGUAAUGGCCAUCCUUGUCAUCUUCCCGCCAUGGGGGGGAACCAUUUCGAGCCACUCCCUUUACAAAUAGUGAACUAGAGGUAAUAUGGUCCGGGGUUGCUCCAGAAGAUGCAUAGCUUGUUACAUUCCCAACCUCUUGUCCACAAAAUAUUCCUACCUGAACCUACACACAGCCACCCAUUUAUGUACCACACAAGAAAUUAAAUGAAAACUUCUAACCUGAUUCCAUCAUACCCUUGGGAAUCCCCUUCACUAAUUGCCAAAUACUCAUUCAUGACAGAAAAUAAACAAAUCUCAGAUAACAAAGAAACUACAAAAUAAAAUUAACAGCACAACAGAAAAUAGAUAAUACCAUAUACCCAGAUAGACGUCCCUAAAAACAAGUUAAGAUACAUGUACAACGAUUCAAUUGGUAGUUAUCAGCAAAUUAAUCAAAAUCAAAAGCAUGAUUUCUUUGCAGGUAUAUACAGAGUCAAAUUUAUAAAUAAUUCAUGGAAUAACACAUACAAGAAGAUUUCUGGGUGCGAACUCUGAAAUAAAAUUAUCCACAACAAGAAAGCUCAAUCUACCAGAUUAACUCCAUACAAGAAUUAUAAAACGCUGAUCACAAUAACCCAAAACAACAUACAGACGUAUAUACACAGAUCUGUUCACGUUAAGAUCAAAGAAAAAGAUACCAUUAAAAUUAAAAAAAAAGAAAGACUCAAAUAUAAUUAAAGUCUCAGAUCUGCUCGAAGAAAAACAAAGUUCUGCAAUUAUGAAGCACAAGUAGGUGGAAAACCAAGAAUAACCUUUACUGAUCCAUUCCACGAGUAAAACUAUACAAAGUUGAUCAGAUCAGGAAAAACAAAACAAAAACAAUGCGAAAUAAGAGGAAGCAAGGAUCAAAAGAAUAAAACCUACUACCUUAGGUACCUGAGGAACGUCCCAGCCCAAACGCACCCUCUUCCUGGGACGGUGAUCCAAGUGCGCCUGAGGAAACUCCGUUACGCGCUCCAUCUCCAUAAUCGAAAGCAAAAUCGUAGAGAACUAACAGAAAAUUGAGAAAAAAUUUUUGCGAUCCCUGACACGAGACCAAAAACCAGCCUAGGCAGAAAGACAAAGGAUUUGGUUGGAU
rnacentral:misc_RNA from 1 species